AUUGAACGCUGGCGGCAUGCCUUACACAUGCAAGUCGAACGGUAACGGGCCUUCGGGUGCCGACGAGUGGCGCACGGGUGAGUAAUACAUCGGAACGUGCCCGAUCGUGGGGGAUAACGAGGCGAAAGCUUUGCUAAUACCGCAUACGAUCUACGGAUGAGAGCAGGGGACCGCAAGGCCUUGCGCGGACGGAGCGGCCGAUGGCAGAUUAGGUAGUUGGUGGGAUAAAAGCUUACCAAGCCGACGAUCUGUAGCUGGUCUGAGAGGAUGAUCAGCCACACUGGGACUGAGACACGGCCCAGACUCCUACGGGAGGCAGCAGUGGGGAAUUUUGGACAAUGGGCGCAAGCCUGAUCCAGCCAUGCCGCGUGCAGGAUGAAGGCCUUCGGGUUGUAAACUGCUUUUGUACGGAACGAAAAGCCUUCUUUUAAUACAGGAGGGUCAUGACGGUACCGUAAGAAUAAGCACCGGCUAACUACGUG
rnacentral:rRNA from 1 species